GUGACCGUUGCGGAGGAUGAGGAUGAGGUGGCCAACAUUGUUUUUAUAAAUAUACAUAUAUAUAUUAUAUAUAUUUUAAUUGGGGUAGCCCCCAAAAUAUUGGGACAUAUAAAAAAAGACAACUCUGUUCCACAGGGUAGCUGUUGACAUUAUAGUUGCGCAGGAACUUUGUUGACUCUAGGGAACCUCGGGCAAAUCGCACAUCCCCAUGGUGGCGACUUUGCAUGCAGAUGUCAUCCAUAUCAACUUUUGAUGCCAGUUUCUGCGCCUACCAUGGUGACCACGGGUAACGGGGAAUCAGGGUUCCAUUCUUUACAGGGACCCUGAGAAACGACUACCACAUGCAAGAAAGGCA